GAUGAACGCUGGCGGCGUGCCUAAUACAUGCAAGUCGAGCGAACGGACGAAAAGCUUGCUUCUCUGAUGUUAGCGGCGGACGGGUGAGUAACACGUGGAUAACCUACCUAUAAGACUGGGAUAACUUCGGGAAACCGGAGCUAAUACCGGAUAAUAUUUUGAACCGCAUGGUUCAAAAGUGAAAGACGGUCUUGCUGUCACUUAUAGAUGGAUCCGCGCUGCAUUAGCUAGUUGGUAAGGUAACGGCUUACCAAGGCAACGAUGCAUAGCCGACCUGAGAGGGUGAUCGGCCACACUGGAACUGAGACACGGUCCAGACUCCUACGGGAGGCAGCAGUAGGGAAUCUUCCGCAAAGGGCGAAAGCCUGACGGAGCAACGCCGCGUGAGUGAUGAAGGUCUUCGGAUCGUAAAACUCUGUUAUUAGGGAAGAACAUAUGUGUAAGUAACUGUGCACAUCUUGACGGUACCUAAUCAGAAAGCCACGGCUAACUACGUG
rnacentral:rRNA from 1 species